AUAUAUAUGUAUAUACGUAUUUAGUUGAGAAACCGAGCGGGUACACCCGAGAGAAAUUACGAGCAUAUAAAUCACUGGAUGCUUAUGAAUACGUUGUCUGUGGUCAUGUACAGAACGUCAAAUACCAUGACAUAGACUCAGAGUUUUGUGUGUUGAAAUCAGAAAUUCUUCCUAGUCAAAGACAAGGACACAAGACAACGAUGUAUGAGGCUUGGGUUAUAAUCAACCAACGAGAGAACUACGUCCUCACGGCGAACUGCACCUGUAUGGCAGGGCUUGGGUCAUGCUGCAGUCAUGCAGCUGCAAUAUUAUUUAAAGUUGAACUCUAUGUUAGGAUGGGAAGGACUGAGAAAGCAGCAGUUACAUCUGGAGUGUGCAUGUGGAAAGACAUCAGCAGGAAAGAAGUCAGACCAGCUCCAUUGAGUGUUGACAGAUGAUGACAUCCGGGAACUGCAGGUUGUGGACCCCUGUGCUGCAGUGCUGACAAGCCUGCAAAAUAGUGACACAGACACUGCAUCAUCUGACACUGAUUCAGAGGAGCAUCCUGACUUACCA